UACAGGGGGUGCAAACGUUGCUCGGAAUCAUUGGGCGUAAAGCGCACGUAGGCGGUUCGUUAUGUCGGAUGUGAAAGCCCUUGGCUUAACCGAGGAAGUGCAUCCGAAACUGGCGAGCUAGAGUACGAAAGAGGAUCGCGGAAUUCCCGGUGUAGAGGUGAAAUUCGUAGAUAUCGGGAGGAACACCGGUGGCGAAGGCGGCCUUCUGGACAGUGACUGACGCUGAGACGCGAAAGCGUGGGGAGCAAACAGG
rnacentral:rRNA from 1 species